rnacentral:rRNA from 1 species
GCAACUCGCCUGCAUGAAGUCGGAAUUGCUAGUAAUCGUAGGUCAGCAUACUACGGUGAAUACGUUCCCGGGCCUUGUACACACCGCCCGUCAAACCAUGAGAGUUGGCAACACCCGAAGUCGGUAGUCUAACCGCAAGGAGGACGCCGCCGAAGGUGGGGUUGAUGAUUAGGGUUAAGUCGUAACAAGGUAAC